rnacentral:rRNA from 1 species
UACGGAGGGGGCUAGCGUUGUUCGGAAUUACUGGGCGUAAAGCGUGCGCAGGCGGUUCGUUAAGUCAGAUGUGAAAGCCCCGGGCUCAACCUGGGAACUGCAUUUGAAACUGGCGGGCUUGAGUGUGGCAGAGGGGGGUGGAAUUCCGCGUGUAGCAGUGAAAUGCGUAGAGAUGCGGAGGAACACCGAUGGCGAAGGCAGCCCCCUGGGCCAACACUGACGCUCAGGCACGAAAGCGUGGGGAGCAAACAGG